rnacentral:lncRNA from 1 species
UCAACCCAGAAGAGAAUGGGUCAUUAAGGUAGAGGGUCAAGUACCAACUUCAUCAUUCAAUAUCCACCUGAGCCUUUGCUCAGUGCUCAAUUAAAAUGUAGGGCUUCCAUCCCAAGGCGCACCAGAUGAGAAGGCCUGAGGGUUCUAAAUAAUAGAUUUUGCUCCAGACAGGCCCAAGGGAGCAGCUUUGGCCUCUAACUUAAACUCUCAGCGUGGCUCAGCUUCUAGACCUAACGUCACCCUGACUUCUUCAUCUUCGUCUCCUCCCUCUUCUUAACUUCCAGCAAAAUUAAAGCUCUUCCCCGUCAACACUUGGUUGUCUCAUUAUGAAAGUUUUCAGUACUGGAGGCUUUUAGAUAGUUUUCAUUAGGCUCCAGUUCUGCUUGUCUGCGGGCCCUGAGAUUCUUAAUUGAUAGAGUCACCUGUGCCCCAAUCCUAAACCAAUCCUGAUCAAGACAGUGGUCCAACCAUCCCAGUGUAGAUAGAAAUUAGUCUUUUUCUAUACACUGGCAGUUUUCAACUGGGGUGAUUUUUUCCACCCAGGGAUAUUUGUCAAUGUCUGGAGAGGUUUAUGGUCGUCUCAACUGGGGGAGUAUUACUAGCAACUAGUGGGUAGAGGUGAGAGAUGUUGCUAAAAAUCCUACAAUGCACAGGGCAAUCCCACACAACAAAGAAUUAUUCAGCCCAAAUGUCAGUCAUGCUGAGGUUCAGAAACCCUGCUGAAGACCUAGUCCCGGGGUGGGCCGUGGGAACCCAGGCUUAUACUGAGUCAAACUUCACUUUAGCCCCCUAUCGUGUUCCCCUUGUCAGUUUGACUUCUGUCUCAAGUGCCUGCUCCAUGCUCCAGUUCUUCCCUGAUGAGUCUGGAAUUUUAUCCUGAACCCUGCCUGUUUAAUUCUGGUCUGACACUUCAGCUCUUCCCAGCCCCCUCACCUGGAUCUUUAAUUGGAGUCCCAUCCACAUAGAUCCAAGUCAGCACCUAUCUAAUUUUUAGUAUUCCUGCUGUAAAAGCCCCCACUGCCAUUCCCUACUUAGCAGAUCAUACCACAGGAAUAAGAACGGUGAAGUCAGCCAGAUUCACAGCCCUUUUGGAUAUUGUCUUCUGGAGUGUUGGCUGUUCUUCUCACGGACCACUCCCACAGCUUGGUCAUGUCACCCAGCCUGGGUCUCAUUUCUCCCCUCUCCCCGAAUCUCUAUCACUGAGGUUCCAGAAUGACUUGAGGCUGAGCUGACUUCCGCAGGAUGCUUUGAGAGAAUAAUUUCUAAUGGAGCAACACUAAGCACUACGCUGAGGGCAACACCAUGCAAUUCAGACCCUUUAACCUGAGCCUUGGAACCAUGAUGAUUCAGGCCAGGACACCAUUCUAGAAUAAUAAUGGUCAUUUCUUGGGUUCUCUCUCUUUCUUCAUUCUCUCUCUCUCUUUAGUAAUUAUUUCAAAUUAUUAUCUGAUUAGCCAUCCCUCAGGCUUCCACUGAAGAAUAAACCCAUAACUAUUUCCCUCCAAGGGGCAGCCACACACCCUGCCAGGAUGUCAUGCUGUCCCCAGGCACAAUAUACAAGAAUAUCCAUGCCUCCCCGCCAGAAAGUAAUUUCCAAGAGAACGUUGACCUCUUAGCUUUUUCCAGACUGGACCAAAAGAGGAAACGAGACAGACACAGCAGCAGAUGGAGAGUAGUUGGCAAGGAUGAUUUAGGCCACAAAAAAGAAACGAGGGGGCUGGCCCAGUGGCGCAGCGGUUAAGUUUGCAUAUUCCACUCCAGGCCCAGGGUUCGCCAGUUCAGAUCCCAGCCGUGGACCUACCCACUGCUUAUCAAGCCAUGUUGUGGCAGGCAUCUCACAUAUAAGGUAGAGGAAGAUGGGCACAGAUGUUAGCUCAGGGCCAAUCUUCCUCAGCAAAAAGAGGAGGAUUGGUGGUAGAUGUUAGCUCAGGGCUAAUCUUCCUCAAAAAUAAAAAAAGGAAUCAGUACAGGUAUUCAGUACAGUAAGGUGCACCUGGGUGGCAUUUUAGCAGUGGGUGCUUUGUUAAGCAGUUGGAAAUCAGGGUCCACCCAACCAGGGCUGGGAUUAGUAUGUCACUGCAAGAACCAUAACCACUUUGCAGUAAAAUCAAGAUGUCAGAAGUUCAAUCUCACCAGUUUUGGCCCCUGUUCUUAUGUUUGCACUGCUGCUUAAAAUGCUAGUUCUGUUGGGUUCUGAAGACACUUUGCAAGGAAGAUUCCCAAGAAACAAACAAACAAGUACGUCAGGCACAAGAAAUGAUCAUCAAAACUCAUCCUUCCUGAAGACAGUGAAAUCAACGACUUUCAUAAAGAAUCUGCUUCACCAGAAAUCAUCCCUGAAACAAAAAAGGGGGGUGAACAAACACAGAGAUAAAACAUAAAAUAUUGCAACCAUUGGAAAGUUCCUAAGGUCUAAAGUAGUAACUUCAUAUUUUUAAAACGUAAUAUUAAAUAGCACACUGCCUGCUAUUUAAUUCUCCUGGAUUUAUGGAGAGGGAGCUCUCGGCUGAGCAUCAGUUGAACACACGUGUUGUGUAGCUUUUUCAGUGGUGGCGAAGGAUUUCUCGUAAGCUAUCCAGACCGUUCCACAUCAACAUCCUUGAUUUAUGUUGGCAAAAAGCAGCUUCCUGUAGUUUUGGUUCCUCCUGAGCUCUUUCCCGCUGCUGAGCCCAUGUGUACCAAGGAGUUACAAGGGACAAAUCUGAGCAACAUGAAUUACUCUCGGAUGUCACCAGAGAGAACAAAUGGGCUAGAAUGGUGACAGCGCAAACCAUGAACAAACUUGCAAGCCAUCGCUGACAAUGAAAAUAACACCAGAAGACUUGAAAUGCACAACCAACAAAAUAGAGCAGUGUGCUUUUCCUGAGUGGGCAGGAUCCGGAUUUACCAGAGGAAGCACAGCCGCUGUAAACACACUCUCUUACCAGCUCCAUUUUAAUCGGUUCCAGAUUCCUUGGGGAUUGAUGAACACAUCGCUGGCAUCACUUGCUACAAAGGUCUGGGCUCAGGCAGCUCUAUAUAAAUUGGCCUUCCCAUUUCAGCUAAUCCCUUCACUGCACAAUGAAACGAAUGUGGGCUAGGAAAUCAAAUGCUGUUUAAAAGUAGGCCAGUCUCUUCCUGAACAUGCACAUAUGAUACACUAAGAACAAAAACCAAAAGCUUCUUCUUAUAAACAAGUUUAAGGAAGGGGUUUUGUUCUAUUUCAUCUUUGUAGUUCAUGAGGGUUCUGCAAAUGCUGUGCCUGAUCCAGUGUCUCCUCCAAUGGGAUCUUCUAGAUUCUUUCAUUAAUAAAGAUUUAUAUAAAAGACUUAUUUAGUCUCUGAAGAUAGAGGAAAGACAGCUUUGUAGCUCUGUGUUGAAAUGCCACACGUGGAUGUAGGGUAAACAACAGAGAAAGAACUAGAGCUGUCCCACAAGCCAGCAACUCUGUAUUGGGACAUGGUUUCAAAGGGCAACUGGAAAAUCAAGAUCAGAAUUUGCACCUUACAUUCAGUUUUAGCUUCUAAAUAUCACCCGUGAACUCCAGAAGGAGCUGGGCCAAGAAAAAAAGGAUCUCUGUCCAUAGCAGAUCUAUAAAUCUCCAGAGGAUCUGAGGAGAAUCUAAGGAGGACGUCUCUGAAUCAGUUCCCUGUGUUGAGAUCAUAGCCUGUUGCAUGACACUUGCCAUCUCAGAACAAAGAGAAAGAGUCAACACCUCGUGACUGUAUUUUCACAAUAGCUGAAAAGCUCAUCUUCUCCUUGAACUCGAAGAUGAUCUCUUGCACCAUUCUUUGACAAGCAGCAGACUGUGGAGACAAGGCAGUGUUUUUCCAGAGAUAAACAAGGUUAAUGGAUAUUCCAUGAUGGAAAGCUGCCGGUUCUAGAUGCUGCCAGCUCCUGUUCAAAAGAACUUACAGAAAGGUUGUCUGGCUUUCACUCACUUCACCCCAAGGCAUUAGAUUACCCAACACAGGCAAUAAACGCAUCUCUUCCUUGUUUUCCUGAUUGUCUGAGCUCUUUAAUGGGGAACCCUGAGCUAGAGAUCACCUCCUAUCACCACCUAAGUUCCCAUGCCGCGAGGUCCUACCAGGUCAUAGGCUAUCAUUCGGUCAAGAGCACCAGGUCCCAACAUGCUAAACUCAGUGGAAAUGGCAGAAAUAGGCAAGCCCUUCCCUCUUUUUAUUAGAUUAUUUGAUGAAAACAAUAGUUAUAGCCAACAAACAUGAAGUCUCCAUUAAAAAAAAAACCACUGAUGAUGCACCUAAGUCUAUUGUUGCUAAAGAAGCAUCCAACAAGUUGCAACUAAUUCAUCCCAUCAGAACGAAUUAUGUAGCCAGACUCCCGCACUCCACCAGCCAGAGUGUUAGUGGGAGACCCUCAGGGUGAUUUUGCUUAAUGUCUGAAAAACAAACAAAGCAAUUGAGUCUUUUAUAAAAACUCAGGUCUACCUGUCCAAAUAAAUCAGAUCUCCGAUAAGAAAACUAAGAUUCCAAGCCACCUUCAAAACCACAGCCACGAAUGUAAAUAGAAGAAAGUGAAACAUCCCAAUUGUGCUAAGUCUACCGUAAGAGUUACCUCUUGCCUCUAAUCCCCAGGUUGCAUAAAUCAUGUUGCUUUGAAUUAAAAUUGGCCUAUAAAUCUAAGGAAUAUCUGAAGAUGAACAAAAAUUCCAAUCAGUCUUGCUCAUUGUGGCCAUUUUAGCAGUCCUGAGUAGCCACUCGCUAAAUAUUUGAUGAAUGAAUGAAUGAAUGAAUGACUCUCUGCUGGUGGAAAUUGACACAGAUCAACAUGUGAUUGUGUCAACCAAACAUUCAUUUUUCAGACUGGUGAACUUUAGGAAGGACUGUUUGCUCCAAUUCUUUGCAAGGCAUAAACAACUAAUAUGCCAGUAUUAAGGUGCAAUCCACACUUAAGCCCAAAGAGAUUUUGAUUUGCUUUUGUUUUGUUUAUUUAUUUUAUCCUUCUUGUAAUUUAACUAACUGGAAGACAGGACAAUUUGCAUGUUUUGCAAUUACUUAGGUCAGAGGACUACGCAGAAGAGACUUCCCAUUAGUAGAUACUGACCCUAAUAUUCUAGGGCUUGACCAUGCUUCCUUUUAACAGGCCACACAACUUUAACCAAAUGGACAUGGAAUAAAAAUUGAUGCCAUGUUCAGUAUGACAGUGAGGGCCAGUCUUAAUAUCAUAGGUCAUGGUGUUACCUAUUCUUUCAUUCUACAGCUAUAGAAUAUUUACUGUAUUGGUUUCAGCAGGCUAGCUUAUGUUGCAGUAACAAAUAUGUCACCAAAUCUCAAAGUCUUAUCCCAACAAAGGUAUGUAUCUCAAUCACACAAAGUACUUUGCAGUUCCAGUGAUUCACCAUGACAGCUUUUACCAUCCAAUAACACACAUAUCUAGGCUCCCUCCAUCAUUUGAUGCCUUCAUCUUAAUGUGUCAUCUCUAAGGUUUUUGUACUAGAAGAAGGGAGGAAAUGGAGAACUCACACCUACUCUUAAAUACCUAAGCCCAAGUCAUAUCACCCUGUAUAAAUAAAAGGAAGCACACGGAUCCUUGGGAAGUACUAAAUGUCUCUUUCAUAGUUACUACCUGUAAGAAAAUGAGAUAAAUGCUGGAGGAUGUUUAGGCAUACAAAAAAAUACACACUGACACUGUUGGGAUUUCUGACCACUCUAGCACUCAUCUCCAGCAUCCUUUCCUUUCAUUCAUUCAUUUACUUUC